rnacentral:lncRNA from 1 species
AUAGCUUUGCGUCGAUUACUCCAGUAGUUCUCUGUCUACAAGGCUACAGUGAUCGGCUGUCUCAUAGCCGAUUUCUUUAAUACGGCAAAUCGGCCGAUUCGCUGAUAAGCUCUCUCGAGAUCGGAAAUUUAGCAAAUCGUGAUUUCUGGACCUGACACGUAUUCUUCCUUGCCAAUCAACAGGUCAGAUUGGCUGGCACGCCGCGCGAACCGCA